UACGUAGGGGGCAAGCGUUGUCCGGAAUUAUUGGGCGUAAAGAGCGUGUAGGCGGUCCGGUAAGUCAGCUGUGAAAGUCAAGGGCUCAACCCUUGAAAGCCGGUUGAUACUGUCGGGCUAGAGUCCGGAAGAGGCGAGUGGAAUUCCCAGUGUAGCGGUGAAAUGCGCAGAUAUUGGGAAGAACACCAGUGGCGAAGGCGGUUCUCUGGGACGGUACUGACGCUGAGACGCGAAAGCGUGGGGAGCGAACAGG
rnacentral:rRNA from 1 species